rnacentral:rRNA from 1 species
UAGGGAAUCUUCCACAAUGGACGCAAGUCUGAUGGAGCAACGGCCGCGUGAGUGAAGAAGGUUUUCGGACCGUAAAGCUCUGUUGUUGGUGAAGAAGGAUAGAGGUAGUAACUGGCCUUUAUUUGACGGUAAUCAACCAGAAAGUCACGGCUAACUACGUGCCAGCAGCCGCGGUAAUACGUAGGUGGCAAGCGUUGUCCGGAUUUAUUGGGCGUAAAGCGAGCGCAGGCGGAAGAAUAAGUCUGAUGUGAAAGCCCUCGGCUUAACCGAGGAAUUGCAUCGGAAACUGUUUUUCUUGAGUGCAGAAGAGGAGAGUAGAACUCCAUGUGUAGCGGUGGAAUGCGUAGAUAUAUGGAAGAAUACCAGUGGCGAAGGCGGCUCUCUGGUCUGCAACUGACGCUGAGGCUCGAAAGCAUGGGUAGCGAACAGGAUUAGAUACCCUGGUAGUCCAUGCCGUAAACGAUGAGUGCUAAGUGUUGGGAGGCUUCCGCCUCUCAGUGCUGCAGCUAACGCAUUAAGCACUCCGCCUGGGGGAGUACGACCGCAAGGU